AGGACGAACGCUGGCGGCGCGCCUAACACAUGCAAGUCGAGCGAUAACCAGGGCUUGCCCUGGGGACAGCGGCGAACGGGUGCGUAACACGUGAGCAACCUGCCCCAAAGACCGGGACAACCCGAGGAAACUCGGACUAAUACCGGAUGCCCUCACCGGGCCGCAUGGUCUGGUGAGGAAAUGGAUUCCGCUUUGGGAUGGGCUCGCGGUCUAUCAGCUUGUUGGUGGGGUAACGGCCUACCAAGGCGACGACGGAUAGCUGGUCUGAGAGGACGAUCAGCCACACUGGGACUGAGACACGGCCCAGACUCCUACGGGAGGCAGCAGUGGGGAAUCUUGCGCAAUGGGGGAAACCCUGACGCAGCGACGCCGCGUGCGGGAUGAAGGCCUUCGGGUUGUAACCGCUUUCAGCAGGGACGAAUUGACGGUACCUGCAGAGAAGGCCGGCCAACUACGCGCCAGCAGCCGC
rnacentral:rRNA from 1 species